GACGAAGGCAGCACGCAGUGGGCGGCGGCAGGGCGGAAGGAGCUGAGAAAGGGAUCGGCCCGGAAGAAUCUGAAUCCCUGCUCGGCCCUCCUCCCUCGGCCGGGAGCUCGGUCCCUGCAGGCAGUAAGCGGUUUGUCAGCACCCACUAUGGCCAGGCCUCGGCUACGCGCUUUGUUAGCACCAUCCCACAUCCGCCUCCGACAACCCAGCAGGUGCUAGGACCUCCGGCAACCCCUUCACUUCUCUGCUCCCCAUCCAUAGAGAAUGUGCCUGACUCUGGUACUUCAAGCGCUCUGCAUGGAUUUUCUCAUCCUCACAGCAACCCUG
rnacentral:lncRNA from 1 species